rnacentral:rRNA from 1 species
AGGACGAACGCUGGCGGCGUGCUUAACACAUGCAAGUCAAGGGGGCCCGCAAGGGUAACCGGCGAACGGGUGCGUAACACGUGAGCGACCUGCCGAUCUGCGGGGGAUAGCCGGCCCAACGGCCGGGUAAUACCGCAUACGCUCUUCUUGGGGCAUCCCGAGAUGAGGAAACUUCCGGGGCGGAUCGAGGGGCUCGCGGCCUAUCAGCUAGUUGGCGGGGUAACGGCCCACCAAGGCGGUGACGGGUAGCU